GUCAAAUGUAAUUGAUUACGAAAAGAAUGAAAAUUUGAGUUUGGGACAAAAAGAAACUCACACAAAUUCCUUCAAGGUACCGAAAGAUCAAGCGUAACAAGAAAAUAAGGGUUGUCAUGAUCCACAAAUAAACAACACCAAACACAAAUCCCCACAUCAAAUGAAACAAAAAGCGAACGAUCAUAACAUUCAUCACAAUCAUCAAAAGCAUAAAUUAACAAAAUCAUUCCAUUUCACAAAAUCAUCAUACUAAUAAUAAUAA